ACCAAAGAACCUCUUGCACUGGAAAUUGGGUACUUCUCUAGGAUCUUAUGUGUGCUUGCUGUUUGAAGCUGCAGAAAAGUGAAUAAUCAAUUAAGUAUUGAUUUCUUGUAAGAUUUGGUAAAUUUCAAAGGCAAGACAAAGAGGAUGGCUUAAGGAAACACUGCAGGGACUUGGCGUAAAUUAGACAACUAACGGAGAUGCAGAAUAAAAUAACACCUCAAGUGAAGAUUUCCUUGGAAGAAUUAGCACUAGCUAUUGGAAGACAACGGUGGAUUUAAUCAAAAUAGAAGGCAUGCAAGAAUUUCACCCGUGAACGAGAAAAAGGAGCUAAUUAUAACCACCUUUUAAAUGGAGCUAAUUUGACUGAAUGGAUGCAAAUGUGCUUUACUUAUGGAUGAAGAAACAAGCCUUUCUGCAUGAUCUUGGGAUCAUUUUAUCUGCUAAGCAUUGCAGCUCCUGUGCCCUUCUACACAUUUUUAUUUCCAGAGAAGGUAUUUAUAUGUAAACAAGAGCUAACCAUGCAAAAGAUUCAUCCAUCGGGACAAUAGACUACGGUAUAUGAGCUAUAAUUAUCACUUGCAGACUCUCAGAAUCUCCUCUAACUUGGGGCUUUUGCAAUCUUUGCAUGCAGCAUGUUAUGGUAAUAAAUGAAAGGUGAAGUCUUCUUAUGAAGUGGAUUUGCUCCUUCAUCUUUCAGUACAUGAUGUCAGUCUCAAGCAAUAGCAGAAGAUACUCAUCACUGUGGGCAAACUAAUGACACAUGUUAAGGAAUUCAGUCUUAUGGAAAUCAUCUAAAGGUUUAGAAAUUAGCCACUGAUGAUCUCUAUCAAGAAGAAAGACUAUGCUAUCCUCUCAUUUGCCUUCUGAACAGCAAGAAUGAAAAUUCCAAAAUCAUAGUGGGUUUUUCAAUAUCCACACAGAAAAUGACCGUUUCGUAGUCUGGUUAUUUCAACCUUCACAAUGACCAUUUCAGUGAAGUAUUGUGACCUAACUGCCUAGAAAUCAUCUGCAACUCCACUGAAAAAAAGCUCUCUAUGGAAAGAAUAAUUCAGUGUCUCUGGAUUACUCGUGGAUGUUUGAGUAGCAAUUUCACGAUCAACCUAUUGUUUUACCUCCAACACAACUUAACCCACAUUUCCAAGGAUGAAAAUUAACUUCUUAAGAAAAAACUACUAUACAAUAAGCAAUCAAAAGUCUUGGAAGAAGGCUAGGUGGAAGAUUAAGCUAGUGUCGCUAAGCUGGAGUGGAUCGUCAUAAAUCACACAAAUGAAAAUAAAAGGAACAUUUUUAAAAUGAGAAUGGUAUCUUCGCUGUUAGCAACGUAGAGAUAUAGCUAAUGGAAACUGAAAAUGGGAAGCAUUUGUAUUCACUGUUUAAAAAGUGUGCAUAAACAUAUAUAUAACCAACAAUUGGAAGCCAAUAAUCAUCAGUAUUGAUUAUUAUUAAAGGGUUGUUUAAAUAAAUUUUUGUACAUCAACACAAGAGAAUACAGUGCAACAAAAGGUGAUGAAAUAGUCUGUUUAUCUGAUCCUACCCAAUAAUGAAUGCGAAUGCAUCUUAUUAAUACAUAUAGCAAUGUAACAUGUAUGUUAUAUAGAUAUUGAAAGUGAGUUCCAGAUACGAUAAGGAAAAAGCAAGAUAUAGAGAAAGCAUAUUAUAUGUUUCCAUGUGCAUUUGGAUAUGUAUGUAUUUUAUUGCAAUAUGUAAAAAAAAAGGGUCAAAGACAUAACUGCUCACUUAAAAGCAAACUCCA
rnacentral:lncRNA from 1 species